rnacentral:rRNA from 1 species
CCUACGGGGGGCAGCAGUGGGGAAUAUUGGACAAUGGGGGCAACCCUGAUCCAGCCAUGCCGCGUGUGUGAAGAAGGCCCUCGGGUUGUAAAGCACUUUCAGUGAGGAAGAACGCCUGGUGGUUAAUACCCAUCAGGAAAGACAUCACUCACAGAAGAAGCACCGGCUAAUUCCGUGCCAGCAGCCGCGGUAAUACGGAGGGUGCGAGCGUUAAUCGGAAUUACUGGGCGUAAAGCGCGCGUAGGUGGCUUGAUAAGCCGGUUGUGAAAGCCCCGGGCUCAACCUGGGAACGGCAUCCGGAACUGUCAAGCUAGAGUGCAGGAGAGGAAGGUAGAAUUCCCGGUGUAGCGGUGAAAUGCGUAGAGAUCGGGAGGAAUACCAGUGGCGAAGGCGGCCUUCUGGACUGACACUGACACUGAGGUGCGAAAGCGUGGGUAGCAAACAGGAUUAGAUACCCGUGUAGUC